GAGUAAUUUUGAAUUCGUGAGUAGAAUCAGUGUUUUUCUGGCUAUAUCCUCACAGGUUCUUUUGAGGGCUGUAGGGAGAAUAGGAUUAGAGACCCUAGUAUCGAGUCAUGGCUAUUUUGUGGCUUCUUAGUUUAAACUAAAAAAAUUUGGCAGCCGAUGAUACUCUUCCGGGGGAGCGUGUGACGUAAGAGAUGAUCCGCUUAAGUCUUUACCACUUCUAUUUUAGGUUAGUGUACGUCCGGUUUUAUACCUUUGAUUAAUAUCUUUAGGUGAAUUUCGGUUGAUUAAGG
rnacentral:rRNA from 1 species